UAAAGCGGGUGAAAAGCCCGCUCGCCGGAAGACCAAGGGUUCCUGUCCAACGUUAAUCGGGGCAGGGUGAGUCGACCCCUAAGGCGAGGCCGAAAGGCGUAGUCGAUGGGAAACGGGUUAAUAUUCCCGUACUUGGUGUUACUGCGAAGGGGGGACGGAGAAGGCUAUGUUGGCCGGGCGACGGUUGUCCCGGUUUAAGCGUGCAGGUGUGUGUUCCAGGUAAAUCCGGUUCACUUUAACACUGAGGCGUGACGACGAGGCACCACGGUGCUGAAGCAACAAAUGCCCUGCUUCCAGGAAAAGCCUCUAAGCCUCAGGUAACAUCAAAUCGUACCCCAAACCGACACAGGUGGUCAGGUAGAGAAUACCAAGGCGCUUGAGAGAACUCGGGUGAAGGAACUAGGCAAAAUGGUGCCGUAACUUCGGGAGAAGGCACGCUGACACGUAGGUGAAGUGGUUUACCCAUGGAGCUGAAGUCAGUCGAAGAUACCAGCUGGCUGCAACUGUUUAUUAAAAACACAGCACUGUGCAAACACGAAAGUGGACGUAUACGGUGUGACGCCUGCCCGGUGCCGGAAGGUUAAUUGAUGGGGUCAGCGCAAGCGAAGCUCCUGAUCGAAGCCCCGGUAAACGGCGGCCGUAACUAUAACGGUCCUAAGGUAGCGAAAUUCCUUGUCGGGUAAGUUCCGACCUGCACGAAUGGCGUAAUGAUGGCCAGGCUGUCUCCACCCGGGACUCAGUGAAAUUGAACUCGCUGUGAAGAUGCAGUGUACCCGCGGCAAGACGGAAAGACCCCGUGAACCUUUACUAUAGCUUGACACUGAACACUGGUCCUUGAUGUGCAGGAUAGGUGGGAGGCUUUGAAGUGUGGACGCCAGUCUGCAUGGAGCCAUCCUUGAAAUACCACCCUUUAAUGGCUGGUGUUCUAACGUGGGCCCCUGACCGGGGUUGCGGACAGUGUCUGGUGGGUAGUUUGACUGGGGCGGUCUCCUCCUAAAGAGUAACGGAGGAGCACGAAGGUUGGCUAAUCCUGGUCGGACAUCAGGAGGUUAGUGCAAUGGCAUAAGCCAGCUUGACUGCGAGCGUGACGGCGCGAGCAGGUGCGAAAGCAGGUCAUAGUGAUCCGGUGGUUCUGAAUGGAAGGGCCAUCGCUCAACGGAUAAAAGGUACUCCGGGGAUAACAGGCUGAUACCGCCCAAGAGUUCAUAUCGACGGCGGUGUUUGGCACCUCGAUGUCGGCUCAUCACAUCCUGGGGCUGAAGUAGGUCCCAAGGGUAUGGCUGUUCGCCAUUUAAAGUGGUACGCGAGCUGGGUUUAGAACGUCGUGAGACAGUUCGGUCCCUAUCUGCCGUGGGCGCUGGAAGAUUGAGGGGGGCUGCUCCUAGUACGAGAGGACCGGAGUGGACGCAUCACUGGUGUUCGGGUUGUCAUGCCAAUGGCACUGCCCGGUAGCUACAUGCGGAAGAGAUAAGUGCUGAAAGCAUCUAAGCACGAAACUUGCCCCGAGAUGAAUCUUCCCUGAGCCUUUAAGGCUCCUGAAGGAACGUUGAAGACGACGACGUUGAUAGGCCGGGUGUGUAAGCGCAGCGAUGCGUUGAGCUAACCGGUACUAAUGAACCGUGAGGCUUAACCUUACAAC
rnacentral:rRNA from 1 species